AUUGUUGGUUUUUUUUUUUUUUCAAUUUUGAAUUGUUCUCUUAUCCUAAUGUGGGAUGUGUAUUGGAUUUCAAUUUGCAGGUUUUUAUUUGGUGGUUUGUAUCAAAUCUCCGAAAGGAAACCAAGCAAGGGAAGAAACAACAAUGAAUCCUAUACUAUGGCACAAAUUAGCUGCAGUCUCUGGAAUGGCAGCUUUUGGGUUGGGCAUAUAUGGUGCUGAUGGCUUUAAACCCAAAAACCCAGCUUACAAGGAGAAAACAUUCCAAACUUUGCCAACAUUUGGGAAUCUCAGACAAUUGAACUUGGAUAUCCCUUCAUACCAAAGUAAAAGUGAGGAAGCCAAUCUCAGCAACGGACAACCAAGGACAUCUCUGAGGAGCUAAUGUAAAAACAGUUGAAUCAGAAUAGAAACAUAAAUACAUUUUUGUUCAUACAUUGCUCUUCUAACUAUUGUCAAAAGACAUUUGCUCAAGAGGAUUGAGAAAUUAUAACAGAGAUGGGAUACGUGUCCAGAAGAAAAAUUGGAAGGUUAUCUUUAUCCAUUGAACAAGAAGUUGGAGAAAGGUUUUGAAGAGUUGCUGCAGAGAAGUUUUACUCUGAGGCUGACCAACAGCAGCAUGAAAUCAAUGUUGUAUUCUAUUUAGAUUUUCAUUGAACCAUAUCAAUGUCGUAUUCUAUUUAUAAUUUCAUUAAACAACUGGCAUCCAUACUUUUA